rnacentral:piRNA from 1 species
UGCUACUCACACCUGUAUUGUGCCUUAUCC